rnacentral:rRNA from 1 species
GGACAAUGGGGGCAACCCUGAUCCAGCAAUGCCGCGUGAGUGAAGAAGGCCUCGGGUUGUAAAGCUCUUUGUCAGGGAAGAAACGGUGAUCUCUAAUAUAGAUUGCUAAUGACGGUACCUGAAGAUAAGCACCGGCUAACUACGUGCCAGCAGCCGCGGUAAUACGUAGGGUGCAAGCGUUAAUCGGAAUUACUGGGCGUAAAGCGUGCGCAGGCGGUUUUGUAAGUCUGAUGUGAAAUCCCCGGGCUCAACCUGGGAACUGCAUUGGAGACUGCAAGGCUAGAGUGUGUCAGAGGGGGGUAGGAAUUCCACGUGUAGCAGUGAAAUGCGUAGAGAUGUGGAGGAAUACCGAUGGCGAAGGCAGCCCCCUGGGAUAACACUGACGCUCAUGCACGAAAGCGUGGGGAGCAAACAGGAUUAGAUACCCUGGUAG